rnacentral:rRNA from 1 species
UAGGGAAUCUUCCGCAAUGGGCGAAAGCCUGACGGAGCAACGCCGCGUGAGUGAUGACGGUCUUCGGAUCGUAAAACUCUGUUAUUAGGGAAGAACAAAUGUGUAAGUAACUAUGCACGUCUUGACGGUACCUAAUCAGAAAGCCACGGCUAACUACGUGCCAGCAGCCGCGGUACUACGUAGGUGGCAAGCGUUAUCCGGAAUUAUUGGGCGUAAAGCGCGCGUAGGCGGUUUUUUAAGUCUGAUGUGAAAGCCCACGGCUCAACCGUGGAGGGUCAGUGGAAACUGGAAAACUUGAGGGCAGAAGAGGAAAGGGGAAUUCCAUGUGUAGCGGUGAAAUGCGCAGAGAUAUGGAGGAACACCAGUGGCGAAGGCGACUUUCUGGUCUGUAACUGACGCUGAUGUGCGAAAGCGUGGGGAUCAAACAGG